CUUCGCGCCUCUUUGCUUCUCUGCUUUCUUUUUGAACUCUCAGCCAUGGAUGUGAGUAUGACGAAGCUGGAUUACUAUGAGGACAAGUUGAAACUUCAUUUUAACGCUACACUCCUCUCCUACAUCAAGGGCGAAGAAGACGGUUGACACCCUUUGAUACUAGAGUCUAAGAUCUUUCAAUCACAACGUGGGGGUCAACCUGUCGACACUGGCUUCAUCCAAUUAGCCGAUUCCAAUUGUGAAUUCAUUGUUCAAGAUGUACCAAGAAAUCUCUCGCUCUUCUUCUCCCUCUCAGUCUCUCACUUAUCUGGUUAGGCUAGGGAUUAAACUUGUUCUUCUUCAGAUGAACCAAUAGUGGUGUUUUUUAAAUGCCACCAUAGUUCUAAGUAUUAUAAGAACCUAUAUUGGCAUUUGGAAAGCGCCAUCAUAGGUCUAGCCCAAAAAAAAAGGUAUAUAUAUACUUUUUUUUAAUGAUAACGGGUGGCUGGAUCGGUGGUGGCUAAGACUCUAAUGCUAAUGGGUUUGUGCUAUUGAAUUUUAUAGGUUUGUGCUUGUUUUUAUGUUUGUCUUUCCUGGUUCAAAAAUUUAUGUGUUUGAUUUAUUUGGGUUUGAAUUUGCUUCUACAUUUUGUAUUGUGUUCAUUUGAGAACCAAGUUUGAUUUUUCUAGGUUGCUUAUCGUGAUUGAUUUUUCUAGGUUGUUCAUUGUA